AAUUUGAACAGGACUAUUUUGAAUUAGUGAUACUUCACAGAGAGAGAAAGAAGAAAGCUGAAUUUAGAGAACAAUUAUUAACCAGAUUCUUGGUUAUUCACCAGCCACUUUGUUCCUGUCCACGGCACAAAGCACCAUAAACUCAGUAUAGUCUGGACAAGAGAAUAUUCACCUCAAAUUGGCAUCUACUACACUCCCUGCCCCUGUCCCCCCAUUCCCAGUCACCACGAAUCAGGAUAUAGCUGAGUGAAAAGGUGGCAUGGCUGAAACAUUUAUCAGGCAAUUGAAAACUAGUAUAGAGUACAAUAGUCCUGAGAACAUCGCUUAAUUCUGAGCACUGUGUCUGCAACGUGAUGCAGGAUGGGCCUGUUGCCAUGGCACCAUUGGCACCAUUGUAAACUCAGUACUGACCUCAAGCCCCCACCCAUAGCAAAACGCCCUUGGACCUUUUCUGGAUCCCACCAAAAAAUAUUAAAAUCUGCUGCCCCAGUGCUACUUUCUUUCUACAGGAGACAUGAUGCAGUGAAAUAAUUUCCCUACAUUCCAUCAAACUCUGCAUCACACAUUUUCAGUAUUUAAAAGACUCUCUCAUAACUAUUUGUCUAUGUGAAGUCUCACAACAGUUCACAAAUUUUAGAAUUGCCUUUUGCUGCAUUUAUCUUGCCUGUGAACUCAGCUCUUACAGUCCUAUUUUCACACGUCAUUGCUUGUGUGUAGAAACUGAUUCACAAAUAUUCAGUAAGUUUAUUAUAUGGUGUCAUCUUAGAACCUUCCCAAGUGCAAAAAUCUUCGGCAACAAUGAAGGCUUGGGCUGAUGACCAGUGGCUGCAGAACUUUUGGAUGGUCCACAUUUCUGCAUCUUUGUGCAAAACUCACCAAAAUAAAAGCUGCACUGACAGUGGAGAAGAAAAAAUAAUUGUACUACGGGGAUCUGCAACACCAGAUUAUUAUUGAUCAAUCACUGCUCUCUCUCCUAAACUAAGAUGGAAUGGAUUUCUUUAAUAUUCAAGACUGUGAGCUACGAUCAUCAUUGAAGACUCAGGAGUUCAAGCUUCCUGGAGUGGAUUCUUCAGAUUUCCAGACAACUAUUUUCUCCAAAAAAGUUGCACCAAGCAAAAAAUUACCUCAAUACACAUAAUGGCAAGGAAAUCUUUUGAAGAAAAAAUUGCAAAUGUUUUAGCAUACAUAAGGAGUAGCACAUAUCCUGAAGGAAUGAAUAAAGCAGGCAGACUGAACUUGCGUCGAUAUGCUGUCAACUUUUCAUUGGAAGAGGGGAGAUUGUUCCAUUCAGCAAAAGGAAGAAAGGUUGUUGUUGUACAUACCAUGAAAGAAGCCCUGCAACUCUUUAAAAGGUAUCAUGACAGUCCAGCGGGUGGACAUCUAGGAAUAUUCAAAACCAGGAAUGCGCUGACAUCAAAAUACUAUUGGCCAGGGAUGACAAAAGACAUUGCCAAUUGGGUUGCACAGUGUCUGACUUGCCAGAAAGAAGGAAAGCAAUCAAAUCUGGAUACCACCUUGAAAAGCAUAGAGGUGAAUUUUUGAAUCAGAC